rnacentral:rRNA from 1 species
AUCUUGAGAGCGGCGUACGGGUGCGGAACACGUGUGCAACCUGCCUUUAUCUGGGGGAUAGCCUUUCGAAAGGAAGAUUAAUACCCCAUAAUAUGUUGAAUGGUAUCAUUCGACAUUGAAAACUCCGGUGGAUAGAGAUGGGCACGCGCAAGAUUAGAUAGUUGGUGAGGUAACGGCUCACCAAGUCUACGAUCUUUAGGGGGCCUGAGAAGGUGAUCCCCCAACUGGUACUGAGACACGGACCAAACUCCUACGGGAGGCAGCAGUGAGGAAUAUUGGACAAUGGGUGAGAGCCUGAUCCAGCCAUCCCGCGUGAAGGACGACUGCCCUAUGGGUUGUAAACUUCUUUGUAUAGGGAUAAACCUACCCUCGUGAGGGUAGCUGAAGGUACUAUACGAAUAAGCACCGGCUAACUCCGUGCCAGAAGACCGCGGUAAUACGGAGGGUGCAAAGCGUUAUCCGGAUUUAUUGGGUUUAAAGGGUCCGUAGCGGAUCUGUAAGUCAGUGGUGAAAUCUCACAGGUUAACUGUGGAAACUGCCAUUGAUAAUGNAGGUACUUGAGUGUUGNUGAAGUANACUGGAAAUAAGUAAGAUGUACGG